GAGUUUUGAUCAUGGCUCAGGAUGAACGCUAGCGGCAGGCCUAACACAUGCAAGUCGAGGGGCAGCACGGUGUAGCAAUACACUGGUGGCGACCGGCGCACGGGUGCGUAACGCGUAUGCAACCUACCCAUAACAGGGGGAUAACACUGAGAAAUUGGUACUAAUACCCCAUAACAUCAGGACCGGCAUCGGUUCUGGUUGAAAACUCCGGUGGUUAUGGAUGGGCAUGCGUUGUAUUAGCUUGGG
rnacentral:rRNA from 1 species